rnacentral:rRNA from 1 species
GACGAACGCUGGCGGCGUGCUUAACACAUGCAAGUCGAACGGAAAGGCCUGCUUUCCCUUGUGGAUUGCGGGUACUCGAGUGGCGAACGGGUGAGUAACACGUGAGUGAUCUGCCCCCAACUUGGGUAUAAGCCUGGGAAACUGGGUCUAAUUCCCGAUAGGACUGCAGGGUGGUGCCUGUGGUGGAAAACGAUUUUCUAGUGGUUGGGGAUGAGCUCGCGGCCUAUCAGCUUGUUGGUGGGGUAAUGGCCUACCAAGGCGGCGACGGGUAGCCGGCCUGAGAGGGUGGACGGCCACAUUGGGACUGGGACACGGCCCCGACUCCUACGGGAGGCAGCAGUGGGGAGUAUUGCACAAUGGGCGGAAGCCUGAUGCAGCGACGCCGCGUGGGGGAUGACGGGCUUCGGGUUGUAACCUCCUUUCGACCGCGAGGAAGCCACCUGGUUGGAAGGGUGGUGACGGUAGUGGUAGAAGAAGCACCGGCUAACUACGUG